rnacentral:tRNA from 1 species
AUGCAGAUGGCGGAAUUGGUAGACGCAGGCGGCUAGGGCAUAUCGCAAAUCGUUGAUGAGCGAGGCGCCAGAACUCGGGAUCGUAAAACCCGACACCGCCGGCAGCUCCGGGUUCGAGUCCCGGUCUGCAUC